rnacentral:tRNA from 1 species
CGUCGGAUAGCUCAGUGGUCUAGAGCAGUUGCCCGGCAAGCGAAAGACCCGCGUUCGAUUCCCGGUCUAGCGA